AAAAAAAGAAGAGGAAGAAGAAGAAGAACAGAAG
rnacentral:sRNA from 1 species